GCGGAUGUGGCGGAAUUGGCAGACGCGCCAGACUUAGGAUCUGGUGGGCGACCGUGGGGGUUCGAGUCCCUUCAUCCGCA
rnacentral:tRNA from 1 species